AGAGUUUGAUCCUGGCUCAGAGCGAACGCUGGCGGCGUACUUAACACAUGCAAGUCGGACGAGGACCAUCGGGUUAGCAAUAAUUCGGUGGUUCUAGUGGCGUACGGGUGAGUAACACGUGGGUAACCAGCCCUUGAGACCGGGAUACCCUCUCGAAGGGGAGGCUAAUACUGGAUACGUUCCCCGGGGCGCAAGACCUGGGGAGGAAAGGUGGCGAAAGCUGCCGCUCUUGGAGGGGCUCGCGGCCUAUCAGCUAGUUGGUGAGGUAACGGCUCACCAAGGCUAUGACGGGUAGCUGGUCUGAGAGGACGACCAGCCACACGGGAACUGAGACACGGUCCCGACUCCUACGGGAGGCAGCAGUGGGGAAUUUUCCGCAAUGGGCGAAAGCCUGACGGAGUGACGCCGCGUGGGGGACGAAGGCCUUCGGGUCGUAAACCCCUGUCAGAGGGAAAGAAGGGUGCUGGCGUAAAUAGCGUCGGCAUCUGACGGUACCUUCAGAGAGCCCCGA
rnacentral:rRNA from 1 species